rnacentral:rRNA from 1 species
GUAGCGAACAGGAUUAGAUACCGAGAUAGUACCACGUUGUAACUGAGGGCUAGUAGGUGUAUCUGUUAUGAUACCAUCUGUGCGGGAGUAAACUCAAUAAGUAUCCCUCCUGGCGAGUACAGCCGCAUGGUUGAUACUCAAUGGAAUUGACGGGGGCCUGCACAUGCAGUGCAGUAUGUGGUUUAUUUCGAAUCAACGCGAAGAACUUUACCAGGGCUUGACAUCCCUUGAACUAUCUAGAGAUAGGUAGGGCGUACGGGACAUGGAGACAGUUGGUGCAUGGUUGUAGUCAGCUCGUGUCUUGAGAUGUUGGGUUAAGUCCCGCAACGAGCGCAACCCUUAUAGUGAGUUGCCUUCAAUAAGAUGGGGACUCUAGCGAGACAGCCGUUGAGAAAACGGAGGAAGGAAAGGAUGACGUCAAAUCAUCAUGCCCAUUAUUCUUUGGGUUACACACGUACUACAAUGGCUACUACAGAGGGAAGCGAAGCCAGGAGGCGGAGCAAAUCUCAAAAAGGUAGUCCCAGUUCAGAUUGUAGGCUGAAACUCGCCUGCAUGAAGUAGGAAUUGGUAGUAAUUGCAGGUCAGAAUACUGCAGUGAAUACGUUCCCGGGCCUUGUACACACCGCCCGUCACACCAUGAGAGUCUGCAACACCCGAAGUCAGUAGUUUAACCGAAAGGAGAACACUGCCGAAGGUGGGGUAGGUGAUUGGGG